rnacentral:rRNA from 1 species
AACGUAGGACGCAAGCGUUAUCCGGAGUUACUGGGCGUAAAGCGCGGGCAGGCGGUCUUGCCAGUCUGAUGUGAAAUCUCCUCGCUCAACGGGGAGCAGCCAUUGGAAACUACAAGACUGGAGUCUGGCAGAGGUAGGCGGAAUUCCGGGUGGAGUGGUGAAAUGCGUAGAGAUCCGGAGGAACACCAGAGGCGAAGGCGGCCUACUGGGCCGUAACUGACGCUGAGGAGCGAAAGCGUGGGGAGCGAACAGG